AUAACAUCCUCUGCUGUUAGCAUUAUGGGAAUGGUCAGAAAGCUAAGGAAGUAACCAGGAUGAAUACCAUGCCAGAAAGCACUCACCAACAACGUUAUAGAUGUUCUGAAACAGAGGAAAGAAAGAAAAAAGGCUUUACAAGAUCAUGAUUAUUUUGGAGAAAGGCAAUUUACUUUUCCUUGCGGAGCAGUUCCAGAUCUUAUGACACCCAUGCUUAGUUAAUGGUGUACUAAACUUUGUCGGUGCAAGAAUGGAUGUAGUCUGUUACAACGUUUACUGUUUCGUCAAUAUAAGCGUGCUGGAACACAUCCCAGUUUGUGGAUUCAAAACUCCUGCGCAGGUUCCGUAUUGCUUCCUCAUUCCAACGGUGGAGAGAAACAAUAAUUGUGCAAGAAACCACGCCACUGAUUAGGAACAAUUGUGUAAGGUAAUGAGGAGCAAUUUUCCAAGAUACCACACCACUGAUGAGGGCCAAUGGUGCGAGAUACCACACCACUGAUGAGGGCCAAUGGUGCGAGAUACCACACCACUGAUGAGGACCAAUGGUGUAAUAUAUCACACCACUAAUGAGGACCAGUAAUGCUAUGUACCACACCACUGAUGAGGACCAAUGGUGCAAGAUACCACACCACUAAUGAGGACCAGGACCAAUGGUGCAAGACACCACACCACUAAUGAGGACCAGGACCAAUGGUGCAAGAUACCACACCACUAAUGAGGACCAGGACCAAUGGUGCAAGAUACCACACCACUAAUGAGGACCAGGACCAGUGGUGCAAGAUACCACACCACUAAUGAGGACCAGUAAUGCUAUGUACCACUCCACUGAUGAGGACCAAUGGUGCAAGGUACCACACCACUAAUGAGGACCAAUGGUGCAAGAUACUACACCACUAAUGAGGACCAGGACCAAUGGUGCAAGAUACCACACCACUAAUGAGGACCAGUAAUGCUAUGUACCACACCACUGAUGAGGAACAAUGUUGCGAGAUACCACACCACUAAUGAGGACCAAUGGUGCAAGAUAGCUUAAGUAACUGAGAAAAAAAUGCAUUACAUUCGAAAGAGUAGCAACUGAGUGGUACCACAUGUCAUCACCACCUCGGAUAGUUUUGCAGAUGAUGUUGAGGAGGAGCAGUUGAAGAUUACACCCAAUGACAGUGAUGAAGAACCAGAUGUUUGGAAAGAUGAUCCACUGUGAAUUCUCAAGUCGUCACUGAAAUUGUGAUUGGUGAGGCAGCUGAAGUUCUCGUUGAUAAUCCUUCACCUACAUCCGUAACACGUGAUAGAAAACUGGUAUCUUUGUAGAUUAACAGUGAAAUUUUCUACACAUUGUUAAAGUGGAAUUUCAAAUGGAUGUUUAAAUUAUAUUUAAAAAUUUAAAUAUCACUAUCUGUAGUACAGUAUAUUCCAUUUUUAUGAAUUAGUAUAUUUAUGCGAAUUUACACGCUUUGCAUGUCAUAACUUGCCUGUAAAAUUGUCUUAUUAUACAACUAUCUCAUAUUUAUUGGUUUUCAGUUCUCGCUUCUUUUUCUUGUUCUAUGGCAAAAAAUCUUUUUUUCUCUUUUAUUUGAUGCCAUUUCAAGCAACACUACAACCAGACUCUGAAGUUAGGCCUGCACGGUCAAUCUUCCAUGUAAUAAUUAGGCCUAGGCCUAGAAGAAAUCCGUCCGCGCAUAUCGGAAAAUAAGGGCCGAUUUAAUAAUAAUAAUAAUAUGGUCGACUUAUAGA